GACGAACGCUGGCGGCGUGCCUAAUACAUGCAAGUAGAACGCUGAAGGAGGAGCUUGCUUCUCUGGAUGAGUUGCGAACGGGUGAGUAACGCGUAGGUAACCUGCCUGGUAGCGGGGGAUAACUAUUGGAAACGAUAGCUAAUACCGCAUAAGAGUAGAUGUCGCAUGACAUUUGCUUAAAAGGUGCAAUUGCAUCACUACCAGAUGGACCUGCGUUGUAUUAGCUAGUUGGUGAGGUAACGGCUCACCAAGGCAACGAUACAUAGCCGACCUGAGAGGGUGAUCGGCCACACUGGGACUGGAGCACGGCCCAGACUCCUACGGGAGGCAGCAGUAGGGAAUCUUCGGCAAUGGACGGAAGUCUGACCGAGCAACGCCGCGUGAGUGAAGAAGGUUUUCGGGUCGGAAAGCUCUGUUGUAAGAGAAGAACGAGUGUGAGAGUGGAAAGUUCACACUGUGACGGUAUCUUACCAGAAAGGGACGGCUAACUACGUG
rnacentral:rRNA from 1 species